CCUACGGGAGGCAGCAGUGGGGGAUAUUGCACAAUGGGGGAAACCCUGAUGCAGCGACGCCGCGUGUGGGAAGACGGUCCUCUGGAUUGUAAACCACUGUCCCCAGGGACGAAGAUGACGGUACCUGGGGAGGAAGCUCCGGCUAACUACGUGCCAGCAGCCGCGGUCAUACGUAGGGAGCGAGCGUUGUCGGGAAUUACUGGGUGUAAAGGGAGCGUAGGCGGGACUGCAAGUUGGGUGUCAAAUCUACCGGCUCAACCGGUAGCCGCACUCAAAACUGCAGUUCUUGAGUGAAGUAGAGGCAGGCGGAAUUCCUAGUGUAGCGGUGAAAUGCGUAGAGAUUAGGAGGAACACCAGUGGCGAAGGCGGCCUGCUGGGCUUUUACUGACGCUGAGGCUCGAAAGUGUGGGGAGCAAACAGGAUUAGAUACCCUGGUAGUC
rnacentral:rRNA from 1 species